UUGAAUUAGAGUCGUCUUGCUGUAAUGUGCUGGUGAAAGCUGUCGUUGCUCUUCCGUUUCUGGCUGUUGCGUGCUUGCGCUGGUAGUUGUGCUGUUGGGAUUAGCUGUCGAGGUGUAUUUAGCUCCAAGCGCCAUUCCACGUCAACAAAUCCUCAGCUGCCAGACCAAAACAUGAGAGGAGGUGAUGCCAUAACGGUAUAGCUUGGCGUUAAACCUUGUAUAAGUCACCGGCCAUGGCGCAUACAUUCCUUGAGGAACUCCAACGACUAUGUGUUCGUGACCAAGGCAAAUCACUUAGAUGGAGUUAUUAGCUAUGGUAAGGCAUGGCUAGUGUUAUAACUGGGGACAAUGCAUACUGAAGUUAUGCAGUGAGAGGGGUUUCACUAACAUCAUGUUUUUCGCUAACCAUUCCGGAGUUCUUCAUCGAGUUUCGACGAUAUCAACGCAGACAAUGUCUCGACAGGAUGACAUUGGUUCACUACACUGUUUAUUAUAUGGACACAUAUGAUUACUUGAAUAAACGAUACUAAUACUUGAUUACAUUCACGACCUAACCCUAACAUAACAAGACGCAAGACUUCAAAACUUUCUUCCCAGAUUCUUUGGAAAACGAAGCGAAUUCUCAAGAAAAGUUAUUCCUAAACAUUUUGGUGAUAGGCGUCAUCAAUGACGUCAGAUCACUAAAAAAUACAAAUAUUCGAACAAUUGAACGAGAUACAUGAUGAAUUAAUCGUUUACCUGGAGGCAGAACUGGCUAAGAAAGGCGGAUCACAUUAGAGAAAAAGAAACAGAUGCUAGACGAGAGGGCGGAGCUAAGCCAACAGAGAUCAACAGAUAAAAGCUUCGUGAGCUUUAUCAGUAAUGGGUGCGGCUGUAAUGGUGAUGUACAGUGUAGCUCAUUUUUCUUUUAGGUUACUUUUUCAAUUAUUUUAUAUUUGGAUAAUGUAUUGUUGUGUAAAUCAUGUUCGGGAUAUUUGGUACCAGCUGUUUUUCUGCCUUUUUGUCUGUUUGUUGUUACACAUCAACCACACUACUCUUAAACAUGCCUCCAUUGAACGAAGUAGUCCCUAAAACUGAACCCGAGUCAGACCUAGAAGAGUCAGGUAGAAUUGCUGACUCGUUACUAGACACAAAUGUUCAGAAUACAGUGAAAUCGGAAAGCAAUUCAAAAACUAUUGAGGAUUCAGAUUUUAUCGAUGAAGUGAUUAUUAUGCAUGGACAAUACAAAAUAACAAAAAAAAUUCAGACUGUUUAUAAAUUGUUAAAGAAUUUGUCGCAAAAACUUUAGAUGACCCAAGUGCUAUGGAAGAUUUAAUUAAUAUAUUUGUAGAUUACAAGGUAAACAGAGAUCCAGAUUUCUUGUUAACCGAAGAAGAAUUCGAUGCAAAAAAUAGAUGCCAAGUUAGCCAAUAAACAUGGACUAAUGACAGCCAAAAAAACUGUUAGCAGAACACAAAAGACCAGAGAAACAAUACGAGAAACCAUAACAUACAGGUGUACUACAGUCAACCAGAAGACUUUCACAGUAUCCAAUGUUACUACUGUAAUAGAACAGGACACACACAAAAAUUGCAGAAUACUGUAUUAUGAUAGACGCCAACAAGAUAAUCAACGCAACAGACAGAAAUAUAGACACAUUAAUAGAAUAGCAUUUAUGUCAUCGUUUAAAGAACCUUGUAAAAGAACAGAAAUAUUUACAUCAAAAGUCAAAUGACAAAUACGCCACAGCAAUUAGGGAUACACUAUGCUCCGCAGUGGCAGUAGGCCUACGUAACACAUUCGUACAACACCACCAAUACACAGGCCAACAGCUAUAGUCACCAUAGCCAGACCCUCAGCGUGUAAAACAGUUGAAGCAUUUGUUUUUAAAACGGGCCAUACGAUAUGAUAUUUGGCAACAUUACAGGAGUGAAGAAAUUUAAUGUAGAAUUUAUGAGCCACAAACAACAACUAAACAAGCAGCCCAGAAUUUGAGACAACGAAAAGGUAGACACAAAGUAAGCAAGUUGCAAAUCAAAAUGGACAAGUUCAUAGCAGAAAUUAACGAGGUUAUUGAGCGUCAUUCUAAAAAGAUUACCGAGAUUGGUGAAGUUUUUCUUAACUUAAGAAUGCAGAACGACAUACUCAGUAAUAGAUUGCCGAGAUUGGAUUAAUCAGUAAACAACGAAUCAGAGGAUUAUAUAACAAAGAAUUUGAUAGUUGACAAAGAGUACGGUUACUCCUUGUCAGCCUUAUACCAGAUGACCCAAUCAACACACCUACACAGACACAAUUAUAGUGAUAAUAGACAAUAUGAAAGCUCGCAACACAAUUGUCCACAUCGAGCCCCAGCCCAUCGGUCUUAGCACAUUGAUCCCAUGCUAGAUAGAAUUUGACCCACGAAUGAUUUUGAAUAACGGACAGAAUAGUAAAUUAAGUCGAGUUUGUGAAUUUAAGUCGAGAAAAUCGAAUUGAAGUCGAUACAGUCAGAAGUAAGGUGAAGUCAGUGUAGUCAAAACUGAAGUCAAUUAAGUAUUUGAAGUCAGUGAAGUAAAUACAGUCAGAACUGAAGUCCAAUAAGUCAUUUGAAAUCAGUAAAGUCAGUUUAAAAAGUCGUUGAAGUCAUAGUGAAUUCGUUGAAAUCUUUAAGGUCAAUAAAGUCGUUGAUAUCUUUGAAGUCAUAGUGAAGUCGUUGAAGUCUUUUAAAUCAAUGUGAAGUGGGAGACACAGACUUAACACAAGAAGAAGCGGACAAACAGAUUGCUGCAGCAAUGAAAUACGCCAUGGCAGACACUCCUAACGGCUUUCAUGCGCUUUUAUUGGUGGUCAGGUUUGGCGGGAGAUUUACGAAAGAAGAUCAACAGAAAGUCACAUCGCUAAAGGCGCUUUUCGGCGAAGAUUUUGUACGAAAUUUGUGUAAACAUUUGUUAACAAAUAUUGGUACUUUAGACCCUGAAGAAAUCAGGGUCGAAUCAAUUGAAGAUUGGUAAUUAAAUCAAGAAUGAUUUGAGUGAAGAAUGCAAAGGUCGAGUUGUUAUAUUUGACAAUAAAGACACAAACAAAAGAAAACAGUUAGAUUUACUGAUUGAAGCCAUUGAUCAGUUAAGCCAUCGAAAUCAACGCUACUAACUUUAAACGAGCCAGGGUAGAAAGAGACAGACUAAUUCAAGAAUCUGAAACUCGAUACUUGAAAGAGGAGAAUCGAAAAGAGGCUGUCAUGAUCGUACAAGAGCUCUCUAACCUAUGCAAAUACGACUUACAAACAAGGUUACACAGUCUAGAAAUUCUAAAGUUUAGAACAGCCUUGCAGCUUAAAGAUAUCUCUUUACAAGACAGCAAUACAGGGACUUUUAAAGAUGUGAUAGAUAAAUAUCAUAUGAUUCAAAAUAUGAUCAUAGAGCUCAUACGGAAACAAAAGAUCACUUUAUAGAACAGCUAAAAGAAAAGAUCUAUCACGAGAAGAGGAACAAUUAGAUGAACGCGAGAACUUGAGAGAGCGAGACGCGGAUUAUGAUCUUAUGUAUGAAGACUUAUGGGGUGUUGUAAAAGCAAUUGCAUCGCUGAAAAAAUCAGCUGAAAUUAAACAAGAAACAAAAUUUUAUUUCAAUUUCAAUGUCAAUAGUUAUACAUUAUAAAU